rnacentral:rRNA from 1 species
GAUGAACGCCGGCGGUGUGCCUAAUACAUGCAAGUCGAACGCGUUGGCCCAAUUGAUUGACGGUGCUUGCACCUGAUUGAUUUUGGUCGUCAACGAGUGGCGGACGGGUGAGUAACACGUAGGUAACCUGCCCAGAAGCGGGGGACAACAUUUGGAAACAGAUGCUAAUACCGCAUAACAACGUUGUUCGCAUGAACAACGCUUAAAAGAUGGCUUCUCGCUAUCACUUCUGGAUGGACCUGCGGUGCAUUAGCUUGUUGGUGGGGUAAUGGCCUACCAAGGCGAUGAUGCAUAGCCGAGUUGAGAGACUGAUCGGCCACAAUGGGACUGAGACACGGCCCAUACUCCUACGGGAGGCAGCAGUAGGGAAUCUUCCACAAUGGGCGCAAGCCUGAUGGAGCAACACCGCGUGAGUGAAGAAGGGUUUCGGCUCGUAAAGCUCUGUUGUUAAAGAAGAACACGUAUGAGAUUAACUGUUCAUACGUUGACGGUAUUUAACCAGAAAGUCACGGCUAACUACGUGCCAGCAGCCGCGGUAAUACGUAGGUGGCAAGCGUUAUCCGGAUUUAUUGGGCGUAAAGAGAGUGCAGGCGGUUUUCUAAGUCUGAUGUGAAAGCCUUCGGCUUAACCGGAGAAGUGCAUCGGAAACUGGAUAACUUGAGUGCAGAAGAGGGUAGUGGAACUCCAUGUGUAGCGGUGGAAUGCGUAGAUAUAUGGAAGAACACCAGUGGCGAAAGCGGCUACCUGGUCUGCAACUGACGCUGAGACUCGAAAGCAUGGGUAGCGAACAGG